ACGGGUGAGUAACACGUGGGUAACCUGCCCUGUACUCUGGGAUAAGCCUGGGAAACUAGGUCUAAUACCGGAUAUGACCUGUCACCGCAUGGUGGUGGGUGGAAAGUUCCGGCGGUACGGGAUGGACCCGCGGCCUAUCAGCUUGUUGGUGGGGUAAUGGCCUACCAAGGCGACGACGGGUAGCCGGCCUGAGAGGGUGACCGGCCACACUGGGACUGAGACACGGCCCAGACUCCUACGGGAGGCAGCAGUGGGGAAUAUUGCACAAUGGGCGAAAGCCUGAUGCAGCGACGCCGCGUGAGGGAUGACGGCCUUCGGGUUGUAAACCUCUUUCAGCAGGGACGAAGCGUGAGUGACGGUACCUGCAGAAGAAGCACCGGCUAA
rnacentral:rRNA from 1 species